AUAACAACAAAAAAAUGCAGAGCUUUCAGACCUCAAAUAAUGCAAAGAAAACAAGUUCAUAUUCAUAAAGUUUUAAGAGUUCAGAAAUCAAUAUUUGGUAGAAUAACCCUGGAUUCUCCACCAGUCUCACACACUUUAUGCCACUCCUGGUGCAAAAAUUCAGGCAGUUUAGCUUGGUUUGAUGGCUUGUGAUCAUCCUUCCAGAGAGAAAGACAGAGAGAGAGAGGGAGGUAUAAGGAGCAGAUACACAGUGCACAGAAAGAGAGAGAGAGAGAGGUGGGUGGAGAGAGGCAGGGAAUAGCAGUGUGAUAGAGCUCCUCGUGCGCGCGCGUGAACCCUACCUCCAGAGCGUGAACGAGCCUCAGAGAGAUAACACUGAGCUUCUCCGCUUCCUCUUAGAUUAAUAUCGCUCUCAUUCCUUCAUAUUAGUACCUGUAGCUUUAACCAGGCUUUAAAUGAGCUGUCUGAGAGUCGCUGGAGGAGUUUGGGGAGCGGAAGUUCUUGCUGAAGGAAGGAGGAGCCGCUCGCUGCAGCCUGUAGGAAGGCGGAGUUGGACAUCCAACCCCGCCCACAUCCAACUCCGCCCAUGUCCAACUCCGCCUUACGUCUAAAGCAACACCCACCUUACGUCCGUCACGAACGCCUACAUUUACUCCAGGUAAACAGGAAUUGUAGCCGAGAAAGCAGCUAAAGCAUCUAUCUGAUUUAUAUCUCCGGUUAUGGCGCAUCCAACACAUGUCCAGGCCACUCCUGACCCUUCACGGUUUGGCCAGUGUGGUGUUUUCAAAUGCCCCUGCUUACAGUUUCCUUCAUCUCUAAACUGCACACCUACAGCACACUUUUAUUGUGUCUAUUGCAGCCAUACAAUACUAUGCAAAGACCAGUUCAGACAUCAUGUAUCUCUGUGCAGCAGUGCAACCAAGACCAUUAUAGCAGAAGUGUUUAAUCCACAGACUGUUGCUACUUCUGAUGCACGUCCAGCUCCCCCUCUGCCAGCUACUCCUGAUACACCUUCUCCCAGUUCUGGUCUUGCUUCCUCUGUGCAUGGUAUUAAUUAUAUUAAUUAUUAUAUUUUCCCUCAGGAAAGUUCAGCGUGUUGAACGUGUGACUGAUGAAGGAGAUAGAAUGGGCAACGUCUCCUUUGAACAGAUACAGUUCUGGAUGAGGGUGACAAAGCUUUUUUAAAGCUGUCACUGGUUUGUCGUCUCUUCCGGGACAUUGUUUGGACAACAAUCAUUCCGGGCCCGGGCACAUUUCGAGUGGCUUGACAGUGUAGUGCCAUGAAAACAUCACAGUGCUGCAUGUAAAGACGAGUUUCGCAGGAUGUACGAACUGCAGUGCUGCCAGAACUGUCAAGAAACUUAUAAAGACUACAUACUGGGCUACGUUGGGCAUGGGAGACGAGGGGAGCUUGUGGCAUUUUACAGCGAAAACGAGCACCCUGGAUUCUGCAGCCAGCUUCAUGAAUGGCUGGGUGUGUGAGUGGCUGGGUGUGUGAGUGGCUGAGUGUGAGUGGCUGGGUGUUGCAUUUUUAAAUAAAGACUUCUGUAUUUGUUUGACCAAAGCAUGUAACCAAACAUUUUAAAGGCUAGUGUGCCAAUAAAUGCCAAUAAAGAUAUUGUAUUAGCUUGGACAAA